CGUGUAUCGUGAUCAAUAGACUAGUGUAGCAACUCUCGUAACACAUCAUUACACACGUACUGAAGAGCAUCCGAUCUCCACAAACAACAAGUUUCUAUUGUGCAGGUUUAGUGAACAUGACCACGGAAAUUGGCCUCAGCGAUACGCGCACUCCUUUCGAAGCAAGAGUCACAGCUCUUAUAGAGAGGAACAAUCGCCUGGAGAAGCGAUUCGCCCAGGACAGUGAGCUGAUCGUGCUCCUGUGUCGGGAGAACAUGGAGAAAGAUGCCGUCAUCGGACAGCUGCUUGAUCGCCAAGGGACACGAUAUCUAUCCUACGGUCUCCGGACAGGUCCACUCAUAGCUGAGUGCACGGAGUCUCCUGAAACGCAUCAAGCACCAGUGUGCUAUGCUCUGCAUUCAACACCGAUGGAAAAGCAUCCUGAUGAAUCUACAUCUCCGCCUGGGCCACUACUUCCCGUACAGGAGACAUCUGUGAAGCCAGGCUACGGCUAGCAACCUGUAACACUCUCAGCAUACAUGUACAUGUACAUUGUACAUUAUCCUGGAGUUAAUGUUCAGUAUGGUAUAUUGUACAUUAUCCUGGAGUGAAUGUUCAGUAUGGUAUAUUGUACAUUAUCCUGGAGUGAAUGUUCAGUAUGGUAUAUUGUACAUUAUCCUGGAGUGAAUGUUCAGUAUGGUAUAUUGUACGAGUUACAUGUACAAUGUGCAAGUACAAAGUCAUGUUCCUGUAUGUAUGCACAUGUACAUGUACAUGUACAGUAUAUGUUCGCAGCGGAAAAUUUAUAAUCUUCAGUUUCUUUUCCCUUUGGCCCAUUUCUUUUUUUUGAAGACGAUUAUUAAGAUGUACAUGUAUAAUGUAGAUUAGUUUAGGUAUCCUUGCUGCAUCGCUAGAUUAGAGUUCACUUUAUCGCUGACAGAUCAAACCCACUGCAAGCCCCUUCCCGCAAGCGCGUAAACACACGCACACACAUAUACAUACACACACCACACAAAAACACACACACAGACACACACACAGACGCACACACACACACACCACACAAAAACACACACACACAAAAACACACACACGCACACACUCACACACACAAACACACACAUACAUGUACAUGUGUAAUGGGUAGCCGAGUGGUAGGCGCGGUGCAAUUAACAAGAAUUACUUUUAUUCUACUUUCAGGUACACACCUGAGAUAUAAUCGUUAUUGCAAGAAGAAGCGGCAAAAUAAAUAACUUUCUCUCCGGUGCUCACCUAGAGGCUGAAUCCUUAUUCUUCGAGUUAGCUUUCAUUGCUAUC